GUCCACGCCGUAAACGAUGAUAACUCGAUGUUGGCAAUACACCGUCAGCGUCCAAGCGAAAGCGUUAAGUUAUCCACCUGGGGAGUACGUUCGCAAGAAUGAAACUCAAAGGAAUUGACGGGGGCCCGCACAAGCGGAGGAGCAUGUGGUUUAAUUCGAUGAUACGCGAGGAACCUUACCUGGGCUCAAACGUAGAGUGACCGUCUGUGAAAGCAGUCUUCCCUUCGGGGCAGUCUACGAGGUGCUGCAUGGUU
rnacentral:rRNA from 1 species